GACGAACGCUGGCGGCGUGCUUAACACAUGCAAGUCGAACGAAGUGGCGAACGGGUGAGUAACGCGUAAUCACCCUGCCCUUCAGAGGGGGACCACAGUUGGAAACGACUGCUAAUACCGCAUACUGAAGGAGGGGCUUGCGUCUGCUUAGCUAGUUGGAGGGGCAACGGCCCACCAAGGCUAUGAUCAUGAGACGGUCGGGGAGGAUGAACGGCAACAUGGGGACUGAGACACGGCCCAGACGCCUACGGGAGGCAGCAGUGGGGAAUCUUACGCAAUGGACGAAAGUCGGACGGAGCAACGCCGCGUGAGUGAUGACGGCCUUCGGGUUGUAAAGCUCUGUUAAUCGGGACGCGGUACCGGAAUAGAAAGCAACGGCUAACUACGUGCCAGCAGCCGCGGUAAUUC
rnacentral:rRNA from 1 species